AUGGGUGGUGUCGAGGAGGAGGAGAUGGACGGAGACAGAGGCAAGUCCCACGCCGACGACGUCGAAGCUGCAGAUCCCACCCCCACCACCGUCGCCAAAAGUGACGACCGCGAUAUCAAGCCGUUACUUGAAGCUGCAGCUCCCGUUCCCAUCAACAACACAGGCUAUGGUAAUGCCGACGAGAUGGACGGAGGCAAACCAGCCGACCAAUUAGCCAUGGAGGCCGACGAGGAGAAGCAGCACAUGAUCGAGCGCACGAUAUCCGACGACGAAAGUGACUUCGGUUACCACGUAGAUGUUGAUGAGUGGCGUGCAACCACGUUUGAUUCAGCCAAGCUGUUACUUUUAGCUGCAGAUCCCGUUCUCAACAGCAUAGGUUAUGGUAAUGUCGAUGAGAUGGACAGAGGCAAAUCGGCCGAGCAAUUAGCCAUGGAGGCCGAGGAGAUCGCCCAUGAUGAGAGUGAUUUCGCCCUGUACGCUAAGAGCCGGGACAGGAGAUGGGCUCACGAUGGAUACUUUGGGGACAUGACGACACUGAGCUCCACGCAGUUCACACACAUGCUACCUGGUACCAAUUCAUAUGGUACUGGAUUCCCGCCCACCCUGCAGAUCCUCUCCAUCAAACUCGCGGAAAUAAAAGGUGGAUUGGAAUGGCCCUUGCCUGUGUACGGCGUGGUUGCUGCCCGAGACACCGUGGAUCACAACCGUAACCUUCUGUUUGCUCGUGAUCGGAGCGAGUGCCAGAGAGUCGAGAAAGACCAUCCUUAUUUGCGCUUGACUGGCCCCUCUCGUGCAAUUGUGUUUCAAGGUGGUGUUAUCUUUGAAAUCCAACUGAAACUAAGAGGCAGCAUGGCGUCUCAAGAUAGAGCAUUGAUCACUCGAAUGCAACGUUACCAUGGAAGAAAGGGUACCAUUAGCUUUGAGAACUGCCUUUGUACAGCAGAGUUGAGUUUGGAGGUGAUUGGGCAAACGGUCCAGGCCACUUUCUUGGGUAUCCGUGUCAAAGGGGGGUCAUGGCCUUCCAAAUAUGGAGGCAGAGUUGUUUGCUUCGCACCAUCAGUGUCAGUCGAGAUCAUUGAUGGUCAAGUCACUUGCAGUCCUGAUGACCAACCUGGAGAAGUGGUGCUGGUUGAUUCUCGCCGUAGAGCAAUGCCUAUGGCUUCGGCUGGUUACCUUCUCAUCUCAAGGCAGGUUGUUUCUGUGGAAAGUCAAGGCAGCCUCAAAGUUGUCUUGCAGACUUACUCUGCAUCUGGUGACAUCGAUUCAGAAACUCAGGUGUGCUUCGCGCCCGAAUAUUUCAACGCUCGUGUGACGACAUGUAAGCUUAGCGGCGUCGAGGUGGAGAUGACUGUUGCUUGGUCCCGUAUGGUCACUGAAAAGGAUCAUAUCACCUCACGGGGCUGGGUGCUCGUCGACGGAGACAUCAAGUGA
rnacentral:rRNA from 1 species